rnacentral:misc_RNA from 1 species
UGGUUCUGGCAUCGAUGAAGAACGCAGCGAAAUGCGAUAAGUAAUGUGAAUUGCAGAAUUCAGUGAAUCAUCGAAUCUUUGAACGCACAUUGCGCUCCCUGGUAUUCCGGGGAGCAUGCCUGUUCGAGCGUCAUUUCACCACUCAAGCUUUGCUUGGUAUUGGGUGCUUUUGCCCCCUGGGGCACACCUGGAAAUUAGCGGCGGUACAUCAAUUCGUACAGCGUAGUAACUACUUUUCGUUGACUAUGAUAUUGAUGGGCUAGCCGGACAACCAACUAUUUUUUUUUCAAUGGUUGACCUCGGAUCAGGUAGGGAUACCCGCUGA